CAUUACUGUUGGACCACAUCCAUCGCC
rnacentral:sRNA from 1 species